CAUGCCCCUUAUACGCUGGGCUACACACGUGCUACAAUGGGUAGAACAGAGAGUCGCAAAGCUGUGAAGUGGAGCUAAUCUCAGAAAACUAUUCUUAGUUCGGAUUGUACUCUGCAACUCGAGUACAUGAAGUUGGAAUCGCUAGUAAUCGCGAAUCAGCAAUGUCACGGUGAAUACGUUCUCGGGUCUUGUACACACCGCCCGUCACACCACGAGAGUUGGUUGCACCUGAAGUAGCAGGCCUAACCGUAAGGAGGGAUGCUCCGAGGGUGUGAUUAGCGAUUGGGGUAAAGUCGUAACAAGGUAUCCGUACGGGAACGUGCGGAUGGAUCACCUCCUUUCUAAGGAGUAUAAGUCUUUCUCUAUUCUAUUGGUAAUGUUCUUUACAUUACUUCUGAACAUUGGAAACUAUAUAGUAGAACAAACAAGAAAAAAAUUAACUCUAACAAUUUCUUAGAGUUAGCUGUCAAAAAAUAGGUUAAAAUAAUUAAGGGCACACAAAGGAUGCCUAGGUAGUAAGAGCCGAUGAAGGACGUGGUAAGCUGCGAUAAGCCUAG
rnacentral:sRNA from 1 species